UGCGGGGAGUGGACGAGAGCACGAGCACUUUAGAGUACACACCGCUGUGCACAGCGCACGCACACACAAAGUCAGCUGAUCUCAUCGGAUGCAGAUCUGCUCCUUGAUCAAGUGACAUUUGUCCAGCUUUUUGCCACGAGUGGCGUACGAUCA